UCCUACGGGAGGCAGCAGUGGGGAAUAUUGGACAAUGGGCGGAAGCCUGAUCCAGCAACGCCGCGUGAGGGAUGACGGCCUUCGGGUUGUAAACCUCUUUCAGUGCAGACGAAGCGCAAGUGACGGUAUGCACAGAAGAAGGACCGGCCAACUACGUGCCAGCAGCCGCGGUAAUACGUAGGGUCCGAGCGUUGUCCGGAAUUAUUGGGCGUAAAGAGCUCGUAGGCGGUUCGUCGCGUCUGCCGUGAAAUCCUCAGGCUCAACCUGAGGCGUGCGGUGGGUACGGGCGGGCUAGAGUGCGGUAGGGGAGAAUGGAACUCCUGGUGUAGCGGUGGAAUGCGCAGAUAUCAGGAAGAACACCGAUGGCGAAGGCAGUUCUCUGGGCCGUAACUGACGCUGAGGAGCGAAAGCGUGGGGAGCGAACAGGAUUAGAUACCCUGGUAGUCCACGCCGUAAACGUUGGGCGCUAGAUGUGGGGACCAUUCCACGGUUUCCGUGUCGUAGCUAACGCAUUAAGCGCCCCGCCUGGGGAGUACGGCCGCAAGGCUAAAACUCAAAUGAAUUGACGGA
rnacentral:rRNA from 1 species